UUAAUUAUAUUUAUUGUUUAUUUCACGUGGCAAGGAACGAGCUAAUACCCCAAAAUGACGUGGGUUCGAUUAUUCUUACUAGUGUGAGAACUUUAUUGGUGAACAAUUUAUAAGUAUCUCUAUAAGUAUUCUUUGAGCCUUGAAGUUUGUCCUAAUCCUAGUAACCCCCGGGAUCCAACUCACCUAAAUUUUCAAUUACAAAAAGAAAGAAUAAGAAUAUAAAUGAUUGAUGUUGUUAGUGAGUUAGUGAUAUUUCAUAAGAUUAAAUGAGGUAUUCUGUCACAGGGUUCUAUAUAGUAGUCACCUUUUAUGUGUAUGUGUAAUACAUAUUACUAUUGUAUAACUGAAUUGAGUUACAGCUUUGACAAAUUCUGCCGUCUCUUUUCCUUUGUACCAAUAACAAAGCAAUUUGAUAUGAGGAACUUUGGUGGUUAUGAAGUCUAUGAUUGAAGCUCUUGCAAAUCUUUCACAAAAUUCUAAUUCUGUUCUUUAUUCAAUCUGUCUACUUUAGAAGGGUGCAAUCGGGUAUUCAUGUAGAACUUAUGUGCAGAUUGACACUGGCAGUGAUGUUCCCUGGGUCUGUUGCAGCUCCUGCAAUGGUUGUCCCCAGACAAGUGGGCUUAAGAUUCAGCUCAAUUUUCUUGACCCCAUCAAUAUCUUUAUUAAAUCUAUUGUUCUGACCAAAGGUGCUAUAAUUGAAUACACAAUCAUCAGAUGCCAGCUGUUCCGGUCAGAACAACCAGUGUUCUUACACUAUCCAGUAUGUAUGAAGAUGGUAGUGGGACAUUACUCAUUAGGCUAUAUAUGAUGCAUUUGGAUGUAUUUUUGAGGGAUCUGUGACAACGAAUUCUUGGGCCUGUAUUUUUCAUUAGCCUGAAAUGGUAGAUACCAUCCCUAUUUUUUCAUGAUUGUUGGUUUAAUCUUGGAAAACAUUACUUUGUAAAUGGGGCAGUUGCAGUUGUAAAUCAGCAGACUAGCUAGGGACUUGACAGUUUGAUGGAGCAGCUGAUGAUAUGUUUGAAUAUGGGCAAGGAAAUGCUUGUCAUCUCCCAACUCUCCCAUUGUCUGAAAGGAGAUAGUUUCUUGGUGUGAUUGUGGAGCCAAUUAACAUAGUUGCUCUACUUGUUCCAUCGCACUUAGUUCUUUCAUCAGAAUAAAAACGCUAUAUUAAUAUUCUUCUGUCAAUUAAACUUUAUAUUUUUUAGUGGUUUUUAGGUAAACAAAUAUAUGCUGAGGGUAAUCUGAAUUCUUUGGUGAAUAUAGCAGGGAGAUUUGUACCUUUGUCCUUUGUUCUUCAGAGCCUAGUAAAAUGUUUGGUUAAAUGUUUCCUUUGGUCAUGACAAGUGCUUAGUACUGGAAGCCAUUCACUAUUCAGUGUUCUGGGCUACUAAUGAAUUAUCUAAGCAAGACGUUAAAAUGA